CACUGGGUGCUGGAAGUGACAGCCAGCAGUUAGCAGGGGGUCUGGGGACUUUACAGGCCGGAACCCUGCGUCUAGUGAUGUCAAAGCUGAUGCAGCAGCGGCAGUGGCCUCAUCAAACAGUAAAUUUGCACUCUGAAUUAAUCACCUUAUGUCGGGUACACACUAUACGACGUGUGUACCCGGAAAUAUCAGCAGCGAUGGGACCCGGCGAGGUUCCUACAUCGGCAUGAGAUGGAGCAGCGGCAGGGGGGGAGCAGGGCCGUGCUUCAUUCGGCAGCAUGGUCCUCGCUGGCGAUAUCGCCCAUCGUCCAUGUAUUGUGAACGAUGUAUCCACAAUAUCAUCUAGUGUGUACCCAGCAUUAGGCCAGAAUUAACAGAGCUGGAGGCACGGAAAUCUCUAUCUGAUGAUAUAAAGUAUUGCUGAAAAUCACAGAAAUACAUCAGGAAGAUAAAACAAUAAAAUAAGAAUAAGAAGAAUAAGAAGAAGAAGAAGAGCACAUGUAAAUUAGUCAGUUAUUUACCUGAAGUCACCUACAUCCAUCACCUUCGGUCCACCCAGUGAGUGCCCCCCAGUGGUUCAUUCUGAAGACGUCAGUGUAUGAGACCACAGGGAGCUCUGAGGGAGAGGUGAGACCUCCCAUCAUCUCUACUGCACAACUGCCUGACUGACAUUUUUGAUGGUUAUAUUAUAGCUAUCAAAUGAUAGAACCUUCAAAAGCACUCAGCAUUAAAUAAAAAGCCAGGACAGUUCACAUUCCUUCAUUGUUUGAUAAUUAUCAUGUAUCUCUUCUUAUGUUCUCAAUGUUAUUUAAUUGUGCUUGUAUAUCAUCUUUUAUUUACUGUUUAAUUCUUGCCAUUUUUUUUUAAAUUUUGAUUAUUCAGCUAGUUUAUCCCUAGAACUCCUAAAACAUCACCAUCUGUGUCUGACAUUUUCUCCACACCUUCCUAACCCUUCUAAAAUGUCACUCUGGGAGGCGUCGUGUGACUCAUACAGAUUGUUCACUGGCUUUGGUGCUUCAUUCAUAUACACCUCAAGUAUUAUCUACCAUCUCUUUUUGUGUGCCUAUACAAUACAUUAGAUUGUAAGAUUCUCCGGCCAGAGGCCUCUUAGUAACAUAGUAACAUAGUAACUAAGGUUGAAAAAAGACAAUUGUCCAUCGAGUUCAACCUAUUUGUGGUCUCCUAUGCAGUCUUAUUAUAGGACUAGUUAUUUUUAUGUUAGGACUAGUUAAAUUAACUAUAAUGCAUGCCUACGCACCAUAACCUUGAAUAUCUUUAUCCAAUAGGAAUUUAUCUAACCCAUUCUUAAAGGUGUUGACUGAGUCCGCAGUUACUACUCUCUCAGGCAGGAAAUUCCAAACACGUAUUGUCCUUACUGUGAAAAAACCUUUUCGCCUCAAUGGGGGUAAUUCUGAGUUGAUCGCUGCAGGAUCUUUGUUAGCAGUUGGGCUAAACCAUGUGCACUGCAGGGGAGGCAGAUAUAACGUGCAGAGAGAGUUAGAUUUGGGUGUGGCGUGUUCAAUCUGCAAUCUAAAUUGCAGUGUAAAAUAAAGCAGCCAGUAUUUACCCUCCACAGAAACAAAAUAACCUACCCAAAUCUAACUCUCUCUGCACAUGUUAUAUCUGCCCUCCUGCAGUGCACAUGGUUUUGCCCAACUGCUAACAAAAAUCCUGCUGCGAUCAACUCAGAAUUACCCCCAAUGUGCGGAAACUCCUCUCCUCUAACCUAAGCGAGUGACCAUGUGUUCUCUGUGCUGAUCUUGUAGAAAACAGGUCCCUCCCAAGCUCUGUGUAUUGACCCCUUAUAUAUUUGUAGAUGUUGAUCAUGUCCCCUCUUAGUCUCCUCUUUUCCAAUGUAAACAUGCCUAGCCUUGCAAGCCUUUCCUCGUAUUCCAGCGUCUCCAUGCCCUUGAUUAGUUUGGUCGCCCGCCUCUGAACCUUUUCUAGCUCCAGGAUAUCCUUUUUGUAAUAUGGUGCACAAAACUGCACACAGUAUUCAAGAUGUGGCCUCACUAGUGAUUUAUAUAAUGGGAGUAUAAUACUCUCAUCCCUUGCAUCAAUUCCCUGUUUUAUGCAUGCUAAUAUCUUAUUAGCCUUCUUUGCUGCACUCCUACUUUGGGUACUGCUGCUUAAUUUGUUAUCUAUGUGAACCCCUAAGUCUUUUUCCAGUACAGAAUCCCCUAAUAUUACCCCAUUUAGUAUGUAGGUGUAAUUUUUGGUCUUGCCCCCACAGUGCAUUACCUUACACUUGUCUGUGUUGAAUCUCAUUCUCCAUUUUGCAGCCCAUGCUUCCAGUUUAGUUAAGUUGUUCUGAAGAGACUCAGCAUCCCCCUCCGUAUUUAUAACCUUACACAAUUUGUUAUCGUCUGCGAAAAUUGACACCAUGCUCUCUAGACCUACUGUUAGGUCAUUGAUGAAAAUGUUGAACAAAAGUGGUCCAAGUACAGACCCUUGUGGCACACCACUUAGUACUUUAGUCCAAUUGAAAAUGAUCCAUUGACCACAACGCGCUGCUCCCUAUUAUCUAACCAAUUACUGACCCAAGUGCAUAUUGUGCUCCCUAGCCCUAUUUCUUGUAGCUUAUAGAUAAGACGCAUGUGUGGUGCAGUGUCGAAAGCUUUGGCAAAGUCUAAAAAGAUUAUAUCCACUUCCUUUCCCUGAUCCAGGUUCGCACUUACUGUUUCAUAAAAGCCAAGUAAGUUGGUCUGACAUGAUCUGUCCUUCACAAAUCCAUGUUGGUUCCUUCUAAUGACCUUAUUUGCUUCAAGGAACUUUUGAAUACUGUCCCUUAGAAUACCUUCCAAUACUUUCCCCACUAUAGAUGUAAGACUAACUGGUCUAUAAUUACCUGGUUUAGCUUUGCUCCCCUUUUUAAAUAUCGGCACUACCUCCGCUAUACGCCAGUCCUUGGGUACCAUACCCGAUUUAACCGAAUCCAUGAAGAUCAAAAAUAGAGGUCUUGCUAGUUCAGCGUGCAACUCCAUAAGAACCCUCGGGUGAAUUCCAUCGGGACCAGGUGACUUAUUAAUCUUUAACUUUUUUAAUCGGUCACAGACUACCUCCUCACACAAAUAAGCAUUUAGCAGUGGGACAUUAUCUUUGUUCUACUUUAUUUGAUUUUAGACUUGCAAUUAACCUUAUACUUAAUCCUGUGUUAUUUACUUAAAUGCUGUACAGAUAUAUAUGCUUUUUUUUUUAACAGUACACAAACAUAAAUGUGAUCACUUUUUAUUAUUAUGUAUAUAUACAAGCGUUUUCCCACAGCUUUGCUCGUGUGAAUGUCUGCUAUUGCUUAGCAGAACUAAUUUUACAAAGACAGUUGUGCCAUCUAAUAUUGUGAUGUUCAUUUUAUAUUAGAGACAUUGAUCACAAUAUAGGGGGUAUCCUAUUAGCAGCGGUACUUUACUGCUACUAAUAUGAUCGCCGUGUGCUAUUCUAUUAACCCCCGAUGUGGCGCGCUCCUCCUCUUAUCGGGGGAUAAUGCUGAGGUACCCGAAGCAUAAUCUGCAAUAAGGGGGCUGCCAGAUCCACAAUAACACCGGGGGUCGGGGACUUUUUGCGCAAUCGCAUGUCCAAUUCAGGCCUCUAUUUGGAUACUGUAAUAAGCACCGUUGGUCAUUAAUCGCAAUAUCCGGUCGUUUUGACCGGCCAAAAUAACUUCAGGGUUAAUAGGAUAUAUCCCUAAGGGGUAUAUGCAAUUAGCGGCGAAUCGCGGCAAAUUAUCGGCCGUUUUUCAAUUCGACAGUCUAAUUUCGGCAAGUGGGUGCUGAAAUUGACCAUAUGCAAUAAAAAACGGAUUCGACAGUCCCGCUGCCGAAAAACGGCCAAUUUGACGGAUUUGUUCCGUUUUUUCAAAAACGGGAAAAA